rnacentral:rRNA from 1 species
UACGAGGGGGGCGAGCGUUGUUCGGAAUUAUUGGGCGUAAAGAGCUCGUAGGCGGUUUGUCGCGUCUGCUGUGAAAUCUGGAGGCUCAACCUCCAGCCUGCAGUGGGUACGGGCAGACUAGAGUGCGGUAGGGGAGAUUGGAACUCCUGGUGUAGCGGUGGAAUGCGCAGAUAUCAGGAAGAACACCGAUGGCGAAGGCAGAUCUCUGGGCCGUAACUGACGCUGAGGAGCGAAAGCAUGGGGAGCGAACAGG